UACAGAGGGGGCAAGCGUUGUUCGGAAUUACUGGGCGUAAAGGGCGCGUAGGCGGCCCGCUAAGUCGAACGUGAAAUCCCCGAGCUCAACUCGGGAACUGCGUCCGAUACUGGCGGGCUUGAAUCCGGGAGAGGGAUGCGGAAUUCCCGGUGUAGUGGUGAAAUGCGUAGAUAUCGGGAGGAACACCAGUGGCGAAGGCGACUACCUGGCCUGUUCUUGACGCUGAGGCGCGAAAGCUAGGGGAGCAAACGGG
rnacentral:rRNA from 1 species